GACGAACGCUGGCGGCGUGCCUAAUACAUGCAAGUAGAACGCUGAAGCGAGGAGCUUGCUCUUCUUGGAUGAGUUGCGAACGGGUGAGUAACGCGUAGGUAACCUGCCUGGUAGCGGGGGAUAACUAUUGGAAACGAUAGCUAAUACCGCAUAAAAUUGAUUAUUGCAUGAUAAUUAAUUGAAAGAUGCAACUGCAUCACUACCAGAUGGACCUGCGUUGUAUUAGCUAGUUGGUGAGGUAACGGCUCACCAAGGCGACGAUACAUAGCCGACCUGAGAGGGUGAUCGGCCACACUGGGACGGAGACACGGCCCAGACUCCUACGGGAGGCAGCAGUAGGGAAUCUUCGGCAAUGGGGGGAACCCUGACCGAGCAACGCCGCGGGAGUGAAGAAGGGUUUCGGAUCGGAAAGCUCUGUUGUAAGAGAAGAACGGGUGUGAGAGUGGAAAGUUCACACUGUGACGGUAUCUGACCAGAAAGGGACGGCUAACUACGUG
rnacentral:rRNA from 1 species